rnacentral:rRNA from 1 species
UAAGGAAUAUUGGUCAAUGGACGAAAGUCUGAACCAGCCAUGCCGCGUGAAGGAUGACGGCCCUCUGGGUUGUAAACUUCUUUUAUCUGGGACGAAAAAAGAUCAUUCCUGAUCACUUGACGGUACCAGAGGAAUAAGCACCGGCUAACUCCGUGCCAGCAGCCGCGGUAAUACGGAGGGUGCAAGCGUUAUCCGGAUUUACUGGGUUUAAAGGGUGCGUAGGUGGGUCUGUAAGUCAGUGGUGAAAUCUUCGAGCUUAACUCGGAAACUGCCAUUGAUACUAUAGGUCUUGAAUUAUUGGGAAGUAACUAGAAUAUGUAGUGUAGCGGUGAAAUGCUUAGAGAUUACAUGGAAUACCGAUUGCGAAGGCAGCUCACAAAACUGUAACUGACACUGAGGCUCGAAAGUGCGGGGAUCAAACA